GGAAUAUUGCACAAUGGGGGCAACCCUGAUGCAGCCAUGCCGCGUGUGUGAAGAAGGCCUUCGGGUUGUAAAGCACUUUCAGCGAGGAGGAAAGGAUAAGGCUUAAUACGUCUUGUCUGUGACGUUACUCGCAGAAGAAGCACCGGCUAACUCCGUGCCAGCAGCCGCGGUAAUACGGAGGGUGCGAGCGUUAAUCGGAAUUACUGGGCGUAAAGCGCACGUAGGCGGUUGCUUAAGCGAGAUGUGAAAGCCCGGGGCUCAACCCCGGAAUUGCAUUUCGAACUGAGCGACUAGAGUACGAGAGAGGGUGGUAGAAUUUCCAGUGUAACGGUGAAAUGCGUAGAGAUUGGAAGGAAUACCGGUGGCGAAGGCGGCCACCUGGCUCGAUACUGACGCUGAGGUGCGAAAGCGUGGGGAGCA
rnacentral:rRNA from 1 species